AUGGAGAAGCCCAGCAGUGUGGGUGCCCAGCCACGCGUCAUCCCACGCAUGCCUUCCUGGAGAGACACCAGGCUGAAGCCAGAUACCAGCCCCGGGUAUUUGGUCGGCGCCACCUGCAGGCGGCAUUUGAUCAGGUCCAGCGGCAGGACCAUAGUAUGUGAGAGACCGGUGCUCAUCCCACCGCUCAAGCCGCACAGUGCCAGAAUCCCAGGUGGGCUCUCAUCUGUUUGGAAUGGAACCUUGGGCUCUGCACACCAAUGUCACUCUAAUGAGCAGAUAAAAGAUUGGAGAAGAUGCUAGCAGAGAACAUGCAGCCUUUAUUAGGAAGAAGAGAGGUGAGGGAGCACUGCUCUGAGUGGUCCACCCAAUAGCAAUGUCCAAAGAUAUGCAAAUAAAGUCAGAUUUUAUAGGAGAUUAACA
rnacentral:lncRNA from 1 species